UCCCCGGGCAUUGGAAAUGUGAAAUACGUGAAAAACUUAGAAACUGGACAUACAGUUACCACUCAAUUUCGAUGUUCAAAGUUUGGUAUUGGUUAUCAUCCCUAUACGAAAAUUGGUUGGACAAUGAUGAAUUCAUGUCUUGAAAAACCAUGUCCGUAUGGAUUUGCAUUUCACCGGAGAUAUCCCAUUCAGCAAGACUAUUCAGGAUCGUUCAGUUAUAGUGCAAC